rnacentral:rRNA from 1 species
CGAGGGGAGUGAAAAAGAACCUGAAACCGUGUACGUACAAGCAGUGGGAGCACGCUUAGGCGUGUGACUGCGUACCUUUUGUAUAAUGGGUCAGCGACUUAUAUUCUGUAGCAAGGUUAACCGAAUAGGGGAGCCGAAGGGAAACCGAGUCUUAACUGGGCGUUAAGUUGCAGGGUAUAGACCCGAAACCCGGUGAUCUAGCCAUGGGCAGGUUGAAGGUUGGGUAACACUAACUGGAGGACCGAACCGACUAAUGUUGAAAAAUUAGCGGAUGACUUGUGGCUGGGGGUGAAAGGCCAAUCAAACCGGGAGAUAGCUGGUUCUCCCCGAAAGCUAUUUAGGUAGCGCCUCGUGAAUUCAUCUCCGGGGGUAGAGCACUGUUUCGGCAAGGGGGUCAUCCCGACUUACCAACCCGAUGCAAACUGCGAAUACCGGAGAAUGUUAUCACGGGAGACACACGGCGGGUGCUAACGUCCGUCGUGAAGAGGGAAACAACCCAGACCGCCAGCUAAGGUCCCAAAGUCAUGGUUAAGUGGGAAACGAUGUGGGAAGGCCCAGACAGCCAGGAUGUUGGCUUAGAAGCAGCCAUCAUUUAAAGAAAGCGUAAUAGCUCACUGGUCGAGUCGGCCUGCGCGGAAGAUGUAACGGGGCUAAACCAUGCACCGAAGCUGCGGCAGCGACGCUGAUGCGUUGUUGGGUAGGGGAGCGUUCUGUAAGCCUGCGAAGGUGUGCUGUGAGGCAUGCUGGAGGUAUCAGAAGUGCGAAUGCUGACAUAAGUAACGAUAAAGCGGGUGAAAAGCCCGCUCGCCGGAAGACCAAGGGUUCCUGUCCAACGUUAAUCGGGGCAGGGUGAGUCGACCCCUAAGGCGAGGCCGAAAGGCGUAGUCGAUGGGAAACAGGUUAAUAUUCCUGUACUUGGUGUUACUGCGAAGGGGGGACGGAGAAGGCUAUGUUGGCCGGGCGACGGUUGUCCCGGUUUAAGCGUGUAGGCUGGUUUUCCAGGCAAAUCCGGAAAAUCAAGGCUGAGGCGUGAUGACGAGGCACUGCGGUGCUGAAGCAACAAAUGCCCUGCUUCCAGGAAAAGCCUCUAAGCAUCAGGUAACAUCAAAUCGUACCCCAAACCGACACAGGUGGUCAGGUAGAGAAUACCAAGGCGCUUGAGAGAACUCGGGUGAAGGAACUAGGCAAAAUGGUGCCGUAACUUCGGGAGAAGGCACGCUGAUAUGUAGGUGAAGUCCCUCGCGGAUGGAGCUGAAAUCAGUCGAAGAUACCAGCUGGCUGCAACUGUUUAUUAAAAACACAGCACUGUGCAAACACGAAAGUGGACGUAUACGGUGUGACGCCUGCCCG